rnacentral:rRNA from 1 species
UACGUAGGGUGCGAGCGUUGUCCGGAAUUACUGGGCGUAAAGGGCGCGUAGGCGGUUUCGCAAGUCAGGGGUGAAAUCCCGGAGCUUAACUCCGGAAUUGCUUUUGAUACUGUGAGGCUAGAGUGAGGUAGAGGAUGGCGGAAUUCCUAGUGUAGUGGUGAAAUACGUAGAUAUUAGGAAGAACACCGGUGGCGAAGGCGGCCAUCUGGGACUCAACUGACGCUGAGGCGCGAAAGCGCGGGGAGCAAACAGG